rnacentral:rRNA from 1 species
CCUUAGAGUUUGAUCCUGGCUCAGGAUGAACGCUGGCGGCGUGCCUAACACAUGCAAGUCGAACGGGCGCGGCGUGCGGCAGGGGCCUCGGCCUCUGCGGCGUCCCGCGAGUGGCGGACGGGUGAGUAACGCGUGGCCACCCUGCCCUGUCACUGGGAAUAACAGCUGAAAACAGCUGCUAAUACCGCAUGAUGCAGUUGAGUCGCAUGGCUCUGACUGCCAAAAAUUUAUCGCUUUGAGAUGGACUCGCGUCUGAUUAGCUAGUUGGUGGGGCAACGGCCCACCAAGGCGACGAUCAGUAGCCGGACUGAGAGGUUGGCCGGCCACAUUGGGACUGAGACACGCCCCAGACUCCUACGGGAGGCAGCAGUGGGGAAUAUUGGGCAAUGGGCGCAAGCCUGACCCAGCAACGCCGCGUGAAGGAAGAAGGCUUUCGGGUUGUAAACUUCUUUUCUCAGGGACGAAGCAAGUGACGGUACCUGAGGAAUAAGCCACGGCUAACUACGUGCCAGCAGCCGCGGUAAUACGUAGGUGGCAAGCGUUAUCCGGAUUUACUGGGUGUAAAGGGCGUGUAGGCGGGAAAGCAAGUCAGAUGUGAAAACCAUGGGCUCAACCUGUGGCCUGCAUUUGAAACUGUUUUUCUUGAGUACUGGAGAGGCAGACGGAAUUCCUAGUGUAGCGGUGAAAUGCGUAGAUAUUAGGAGGAACACCAGUGGCGAAGGCGGUCUGCUGGACAGCAACUGACGCUGAGGCGCGAAAGCGUGGGGAGCAAACAGGAUUAGAUACCCUGGUAGUCCACGCUGUAAACGGUGGAUACUAGGUGUGGGGGGACUGACCCCCUCCGUGCCGCAGUUAACACAAUAAGUAUCCCACCUGGGGAGUACGAUCGCAAGGUUGAAACUCAAAGGAAUUGACGGGGGCCCGCACAAGCGGUGGAGUAUGUGGUUUAAUUCGAAGCAACGCGAAGAACCUUACCAGGGCUUGACAUCCCGGUGACCGCGCUAGAGAUAGCGUUUUCCCUUCGGGGACACUGGUGACAGGUGGUGCAUGGUUGUCGUCAGCUCGUGUCGUGAGAUGUUGGGUUAAGUCCCGCAACGAGCGCAACCCUUAUUGUUAGUUGCUACGCAAGAGCACUCUAGCGAGACUGCCGUUGACAAGACGGAGGAAGGUGGGGACGACGUCAAAUCAUCAUGCCCCUUAUGUCCUGGGCCACACACGUACUACAAUGGUGGUCAACAGAGGGAAGCAAAACCGCGAGGUGGAGCAAAUCCCUAAAAGCCAUCCCAGUUCGGAUCGCAGGCUGCAACCCGCCUGCGUGAAGUUGGAAUCGCUAGUAAUCGCGGAUCAGCAUGCCGCGGUGAAUACGUUCCCGGGCCUUGCACUCACCAACCGUCA